rnacentral:rRNA from 1 species
CCUACGGGCGGCAGCAGUGGGGAAUAUUGGACAAUGGGGGGAACCCUGAUCCAGCCAUGCCGCGUGUGUGAAGAAGGCCCUCGGGUUGUAAAGCACUUUCAGUGAGGAAGAACGCCUAGUGGUUAAUACCCAUCAGGAAAGACAUCACUCACAGAAGAAGCACCGGCUAACUCCGUGCCAGCAGCCGCGGUAAUACGGAGGGUGCGAGCGUUAAUCGGAAUUACUGGGCGUAAAGCGCGCGUAGGUGGCUUGAUAAGCCGGUUGUGAAAGCCCCGGGCUCAACCUGGGAACGGCAUCCGGAACUGUCAAGCUAGAGUGCAGGAGAGGAAGGUAGAAUUCCCGGUGUAGCGGUGAAAUGCGUAGAGAUCGGGAGGAAUACCAGUGGCGAAGGCGGCCUUCUGGACUGACACUGACACUGAGGUGCGAAAGCGUGGGUAGCAAACAGGAUUAGAUACCCCAGUAGUC